AAUAUUGGACAAUGGGGGAAACCCUGAUCCAGCCAUCCCGCGUGUGCGAUGAAGGCCUUCGGGUUGUAAAGCACUUUUGGCAGGGAAGAAACGGCGCCGGAUAAUACCUGGCGCAACUGACGGUACCUGCAGAAUAACCACCGGCUAACUACGUUCCAGCAGCCGCGGUAAUACGUAGGGUGCAAGCGUUAAUCGGAAUUACUGGGCGUAAAGCGUGCGCAGGCGGUUCGGAAAGAAAGAUGUGAAAUCCCAGAGCUUAACUUUGGAACUGGAUUUUUAACUGCCGAGCUAGAGUAUGUCAGAGGGGGGUAGAAUUCCACGUGUAGCAGUGAAAUGCGUAGGGGUGUGGAGGGAUACCGAUGGCGAAGGCAGCCCCCUGGGAUAAUACUGACGCUCAUGCACGAAAGCGUGGGGAGCAAACA
rnacentral:rRNA from 1 species